GGCGACACUAGCCGCUCAGCACUGCGUGUUUUAUUUUUCCAGCCACUGCGUUUGCUAUUCCGUAUUCGACGCUCUUGACUUUGCAUGAACUCAGCAAUGGCUGGCAAAGAGACCCCGACCAGUUUGCGUACAGAAGCCAUAGAUGUAUUAGCAUAUGCAAGGGAGCCAGAGUUUACCACUGAAGAGCUCCAGAGUUUCCGUGACGGUGGCGAGGAGCACGUUGAAAAUGAGGAGGAAGCUGCUGCUGCUGCGAGCGUCGAAGAAGCCUGGCCUCCCCACACCAGAGUCGGCAACGUUUCCUGGUGUGAAUGUACAUGCUGCGUGCAGAUGGAGUGUAGACUGGACUGCAUAUGCUGCCGUGAAGUGGGUGCCGUGUUGCAGUUCCUCUCAGGCACCGCACAACGGUGCGUGUCUGAGACGGAAGAGUUCCAGACAGGAUGCCUAAAUAAACACGUUUUGACCAUCGCCUUGCGCGGAUACCUGGACAUGACCAAGCAGCUGUGCAACCAGCCGCCGACAAAUUUUGACAAUAGAUCAUUCAGAUAUGCUGCCUACCGACAGGUAACGUGGAUGAUCCAUGGGAAAAUGGGUCGUGGUGUAAGAUGUCGUAUUCCAGCAUGCCUUGUGGGAGCAAUACGCCAGUGCUUUCCAAACCCUCCGGGUGUACCGUACCAUGGGUUUGAAGAAGCCAGGGAUGAGGCGGAUACUCAGUGGCCCGAAGAUUGACAUCAUAACUUUUAGAGAUUGGCGACAACUGCUGCCUUGACUGGAGCCCCGCGUCGCGACACGUUGACAGGCUUACACUUCUGGAUGGGUGGCACUGUCAGCCUCUUCGUGGCCACAUCACUGACCUGCUGCAUC